rnacentral:tRNA from 1 species
UCCCUGGUAGUCCAGUGGUUAAGACUCUGAACUUCCAAUGUAGGGGAUGUGGGUUUGACCCCUUGUCAGGGAA